rnacentral:rRNA from 1 species
AGGACGAACGCUGGCGGCGUGCCUAACACAUGCAAGUCGAACGGGGUUAUACCGAUUAAUCUUCGGAAGCGUUGAUAUAACUUAGUGGCGGACGGGUGAGUAACACGUGAGCAACCUGCCUUCAGAGAGGGAUACCGUUUGGAAACGAACGCUAAUACCGCAUGACAUAGCGGGAUCGCAUGAUCCUGCUAUCAAAGGAGCGAUCCGCUGAAAGAUGGGCUCGCGGCUGAUUAGAUAGUUGGUGGGGUAACGGCCUACCAAGUCGACGAUCAGUAGCCGGACUGAGAGGUUGAACGGCCACAUUGGGACUGAGACACGGCCCAGACUCCUACGGGAGGCAGCAGUGGGGAGUAUUGCGCAAUGGGGGCAACCCUGAACCGCAGCAACGCCGCGUGUGGGAAGAAGGUCUUCGGAUUGUAAACCAUUGUCUUCGGUGACGAUAAUGACGGUAGCCGAGGAGGAAGCUCCGGCUAACUACGUGCCAGCCGCCGC